rnacentral:rRNA from 1 species
CCAGAGAACUUUCCAGAGAUGGAUUGGUGGCCUUUCGGGAACUCUGAGCAGGUGCUGCAUGGCUGUCGUCAGCUCGUGUUGUGAAAUGUUGGGUUAAGUCCCGCAACGAGCGCAACCCUUAUCCUUUGUUGCCAGCGGUCCGGCCGGGAACUCAAAGGAGACUGCCAGUGAUAAACUGGAGGAAGGUGGGGAUGACGUCAAGUCAUCAUGGCCCUUACGAGUAGGGCUACACACGUGCUACAAUGGCGCAUACAAAGAGAAGCGACCUCGCGAGAGCAAGCGGACCUCAUAAAGUGCGUCGUAGUCCGGAUUGGAGUCUGCAACUCGACUCCAUGAAGUCGGAAUCGCUAGUAAUCGUGGAUCAGAAUGCCACGGUGAAUACGUUCCCGGGCCUUGUACACACCGCCCGUCACACCAUGGGAGUGGGUUGCAAAAGAAGUAGGUAGCUUAACCUUCGGGAGGGCGCUUACCACUUUGUGAUUCAUGACUGGGGUGAAGUCGUAACAAGGUAGGCGUAGAUGA